GACGAGUAUUUAUUUGAAAGAGUCCCUCUCUAUCUCCCCACACAUCCACCAACCACUGGAACACAUCUCCAAAGUUCUGCUGGGCCAGCUCAGCUUCCCCUCAGAAGAAGUGGCGCCACCUGCCAGAUGAAGGAGCCUUUCGAGAGGCAGCUGGCAUCGUGAUUGGACUGUACUUUGGUCUGUUGCAAUCCAGCUUCAGCUCCAGAGACGGCAGGCGGGACGAGUCAACGGAGGCCGGAUGGACGAAGGCAUGCAGCUGAGUACAAUCCAGAAAACAACAGAGGAGGAGUGCAGGGCCAGAACAACCAGAGUAGCAUCGUAUGUCUCUUAAAAAACAUCAUAGUAUAGCUUUUGGUAUGAAAAAACGGCAUAAUAUACAUCAUAUAUUGUACAAAUAACAAGUCAAAGCAAAGAGACAUACAUUGUAGAAUUGCAGUAAUUGUGGGCUGACUGGCCUUGGCAAUGGUCGUCGGAAUGUGAAUAACACUGACCACACCUCACAGAGGUUAUAAGCUGAGGCAACAUCAACCACCACCAGAACUGAAGAAGCAUCUUGGAUGAGAGGUGAAACGUCUUCAAGGAACCUUCUUAAAGUCCAGUUGGAUUGAUUUAAACAACUUUGGAUGACUGAUGUACUGAUUAUCAGUAUUUUAUUUUUUACUGAUUUACAGUAAUAAAUACAUUUAAAAAUGGUUCUUCUUUGGC
ensembl:lncRNA